GAUGAACGCUGACAGAAUGCUUAACACAUGCAAGUCAACUUGAACUUCGGUUUGGGUGGCGGACGGGUGAGUAACGCGUAAAGAACUUGCCUCACAGAUAGGGACAACAUUUGGAGACGAAUGCUAAUACCUGAUAUUAUGAUUAUAUGGCAUCGUAUAAUUAUGAAAGCUAUAUGCGCUGUGAGAGAGCUUUGCGUCCCAUUAGCUAGUUGGAGGGGUAACGGCUCACCAAGGCGAUGAUGGGUAGCCGGCCUGAGAGGGUGAUCGGCCACAAGGGGACUGAGACACGGCCCUUACUCCUACGGGAGGCAGCAGUGGGGAAUAUUGGACAAUGGACCAAGAGUCUGAUCCAGCAAUUCUGUGUGCACGAUGAAGUUUUUCGGAAUGUAAAGUGCUUUCAGUUGGGAAGAAAAAAAUGACGGUACCAACAGAAGAAGUGACGGCUAAAUACGUG
rnacentral:rRNA from 1 species